rfam:Glossina pallidipes unplaced genomic scaffold Scaffold503, whole genome shotgun sequence.
AGGUCCCAUCAUCGGAAGCAUGCUCAUGAGAACCAGCCUCCGCGAAGUAAUACCUAACGGUGGUCCCGCGGGGGAAAGUGGUAGAAGAGGCGUGUGGGGGGUAGUUUUUAGUACGUAGAAAUCGUGCAUGCUGCAACUAAAGAACUAGCAGUAUCUUUUGAAGAUUUUCUAUCUCCAGCUCGC